GCGCGGAUAGCUCAGCUGGUUAGAGUGCCGUCUUGACAUGGCGGAGGUCGUGGGUUCGAGCCCCACUCUGCGCA
rnacentral:tRNA from 1 species